rnacentral:rRNA from 1 species
UACGUAGGGUCCGAGCGUUGUCCGGAAUUACCGGGCGUAAAGAGCUCGUAGGUGGUUUGUCGCGUUGUUCGUGAAAACUCACAGCUUAACUGUGGGCGUGCGGGCGAUACGGGCAGACUGGAGUACUGCAGGGGAGACUGGAAUUCCUGGUGUAGCGGUGGAAUGCGCAGAUAUCAGGAGGAACACCGGUGGCGAAGGCGGGUCUCUGGGCAGUAACUGACGCUGAGGAGCGAAAGCGUGGGGAGCGAACAGG